GUGUCUCUCUUCCUCUCCUUUCCCACUACCUACCGCCGCCAGCCGCCAGCUCGCGCGCCCCGUCGCUGCCACCCUGCGUGCCCCGCAGCCGCCACCCCGCGCCUCCACCUCGCCGUCGUGCCCCGCCUCCUUGGUCGCCGCCACCGGACGUCGCCUCCAGCGCCUCUCUGGCUCCGUGCCCAGCCCCGCGCGCCUCCCUGACACAGCAUCGCCUCCAAGCGCAGCCACUCCUAGGCCCACGCCCCUGCCCCCGACUCUGCACCCCCUGCCUCGGCACCGCUCCAGCAGCCUCCCCUUCCAUGUGCCCCACCCGCCCGCAUGCAUCGACGCCCGCACGACAACCUUGCCCCCGUGCCCACAAUCUCAACCAUCCGCGCGAGAACAAUCGAUUACGCGCCUCCAAUCUCCUCCAUUCGGGCGGACGCAAUCUCCUCCAUCCUCACUUCCCGCAGUCGUUCCCGUGCUCGCCCCGCUGUCGCCCGCCGCACCCCACCACAAGCAGGAAGCAACCAACACGUGAGGUCCCUCCCCCACCGCUGUAGAGCGAGAAGCCAUCCCCCACUGAAUUAGUUAAUUAUCUUGCCAAGCUUUUUUUCCUUUCUUUUUUUGCGUAAGUGCGUAAAGGCAAUAUCUUCUUAUCACCUGAGGUCCAAGGAUCAUGUACAAAAAUGAGUUCUCACUCCACGUUUCACUUUGAGCGGCCGCCUAGGUCUUCAUGUGUGCCCCCAAGGUCCUGAGUCACGACGACACAAGGCAUCACAAGGCUCAAGGUCAGAACCUCAUAAAGAAGCUGAAAAUUAAAAAGAAUCAUCAUCGGUUCAAGGCUGACCUUCUAUCCUAUCGUUGUGACGUUGACUUGAAAGCUCUCAUCCCAUAUAUCCCUAGAAGCUAUCAGUCCAUUCAGAUGUCUGCAACUUCAGGGUGAGUCCCCCCAGUGCAGUUUCAGAUUUUAGUACUAGUUCGACGCACAGCUCUGUAUGUUCACCAAGGAAUCUAGUCCCCCCCGCCCCAAGAUAAUCCGUGUACAUAUAGGGAGCCUGUUCUUGUUCUCCUGUAGGUAUACAACCAUCAAUUUGGUCUAGACGGACGGACACCGGUAGGUAUACGACCAUCCAGUGCAGUCUUAUUUCGUCGAGGAGGCGUUAGUCCACAACUCGGUUGGUUUCUGGCCUUGAUUUUUGUUCCUGGUAUUUUUUUCAGGUCGUCUAGCUACUGUAGUUGCCCAUCGUCAAAGUUUUGUAGAGUGGUUAGUGUUUUUGGUUAACAGACAUUGGUGCUAGAUUUGGGAUCAACCUUCCUAAACAGUACCAUUUACUUCAGCUCAAUGAUAUGAAUAAUGCUUGUUUGUAGGACAUAUUGCUAAGAAUCUGCCACAUUAUGUUUGCUUGAGUUAUUAAUUUAUCCAGGUGUUUAAUGCUGGAGUACAGUUAGAAGAUCCCUAAUCAAUUGCUUCUCAUUUCAGUCGUGUAAGUCACUCUGUAAGUUUUGCUACCAUUUUCUGAACUCCAUUGUUCUUCGUAUGAUUUUAUUUGGUCACAUGCUCCUUCAUGUGCUAUUUUGCUUCUUGCAAGUUCUUGUGAUCUUCUGUUCUGGCUCCUUGAUUUCAUACAUGAACCUUUCUACCCUUGUCCUUGAUACCUGAGCAUUUUCAGGUAGCAAGUGUUGGGCGAAGUACAAAGAUACUGGCCAACAAAAACAUGGAGUUUCCAUGUGUUGCAGUAUUCUACACUUGCCUAACAGUAUUUAUUAACUGUAGUUAGCAUAUAUGUUUAUACUCACCUGUUGCUGCCAAGAAUAAUACUAAAGUUUUCUAAUAAGUUUCAGUUAUGGAAUUCAUGAAGCACACUAUCUGAAUUUAUAGAGCUUGGUGCCACAAUGAAACUAUGAUAAACCAGCUUUCUUUUUUUCCGAAUGAGCUAGUUUGCCCAGAAUUAAUUGGUCAGGCCGCCGACAUGGUGUUCUGAUAGGAUACAUACAUGUUUUCAUGAACAAAACUAUCAAAAAGGCUUUGAAAUAAGAUGGGUUUGAGCUUGGGCUGGCGCUUCUCUUGGAGUAGCCCUGAGUUUGAGCAGCCUGCUCGUCUCUCGAAAUGACAAAAGGAUUACAAAAUGGUUGAGUGCUCCUGCAGAAACAGACAUACAUGUACGCUGACGAGUGCGGUCCGGCGCCCACUACACCACGCGACACACCAAGAUAUAGAAGGUGCUCUCAAAGACAUUGAAGGACCUCUCAGAGGUAACUUUAUUCAUGCUACGGCAGCGACUUUGAGCGAACAUGAGACCACUGAGCUCUGGAGUGAAUGAAGGACGUCGUCUUUGGAAGUCAGACAUCACCUAGAGCUAGGGUGUCCAUUCUUGACAUGUUUCUCUUAGUGAUAGGUGGAUACUGUCUAGUUAGGAACAAAGUCUUGAGGGAUUGAUGGAUACAUGCAUCUUCAAUUCCUGUGUGUUGUAUUACUACUGAUACAAUCUCCAAUUCUUGUGAACUUAUGUA